rnacentral:rRNA from 1 species
UACGUAGGUCCCGAGCGUUGUCCGGAUUUAUUGGGCGUAAAGCGAGCGCAGGUGGUUUAUUAAGUUUGGUGUAAAAGGCAGUGGCUCAACCAUUGUAUGCAUUGGAAACUGGUAGACUUGAGUGCAGGAGAGGAGAGUGGAAUUCCAUGUGUAGCGGUGAAAUGCGUAGAUAUAUGGAGGAACACCGGUGGCGAAACCGGCUCUCUGGCCUGUAACUGACACUGAGGCUCGAAAGCGUGGGGAGCAAACAGG